rnacentral:tRNA from 3 species
GCGGACGUGGCGGAAUUGGUAGACGCACCAGAUUUAGGUUCUGGCGCCGCAAGGUGUGAGAGUUCAAGUCUCUCCGUCCGCA